rnacentral:rRNA from 1 species
UACGAAGGGUGCAAGCGUUACUCGGAAUUACUGGGCGUAAAGCGUGCGUAGGUGGUUUCGUUAAGUCUGUCGUGAAAGCCCCGGGCUCAACCUGGGAAUGGCGAUGGAUACUGGCGGGCUAGAGUGCGGUAGAGGAGAGUGGAAUUCCCGGUGUAGCAGUGAAAUGCGUAGAGAUCGGGAGGAACAUCAGUUGCGAAGGCGGCUCGUCUGGACCAGCACUGACACUGAGGCACGAAAGCGUGGGGAGCAAACAGG